rnacentral:lncRNA from 1 species
CCUUCUUAUCAAGAUCAGGAGGAAAAGGUACUUUUGCAAGUGUACUUAUAGAUUUCGUCAUUUCCACCAGAUGCUUCGAUUCCUUAACCCUAUGUUCCAGAGCAGUGAUUUCAACCUCAGUCUGGUUGAUUUUGCUGUCAACGAACUCUUUCAUCGCAUAAUAACCAUCAAGAAUUGCUUUCGUUGCAUAUACCCGUUGACCAGGUUUCACGUCCUUUAAAAAUUAAAAUAGAUCUAGGUAAGUAAGUAAGAAUCUUCAUGAAUAUUUCAAAUACAGAAACAGAAUCAGUCUCUGGACUGCACAAAAAAGAAUGAAGUGCAUGCAUUUAAUUGUAACACUGAACAAACUUAUAAAAUGUCGUUGUUCUUAUUAAAGAAUAAUUCACAUCUUACCAAAAUCAUUUUCAAAAUAUCUUCAUAAAAAUCUUCACGAUUUUUGAAAUAGAGCUCCAUGACCUUUUCAGGAUCGAUGCCAUAAGCCUCAAGCCUAGUAUUGGUGGCGCCUUCCGAAGAACCUUCACUUUGAGGUGGAGGCGGCAGUGCAGGUGGAGGCGGUG